UUUUCAGAAAAAUAUAAAGCUAAUUAGGUUUUAAAACUUCAAAGGAGAGCACUAAAUUCAUGGAAAUAAAUGCUAUCCCUUCUAAUUCAGGAGAAGAAAAAAGAAAACUACCUUAUCAAUACAACAAGAAGUCAGGAAAAGAGAGAGAGAAGUGGAGUAAGAUGGCUAAAUAGAACCCUCCAGUGUUUGACACUUCCUGCAGGAACACCACAUUUUACAACUAUCCAUGCAAGAAAGCACCUUCAUAAAAAAAAAUCAGAUGAUGUGAUGGUGAGACCAGUCUCCUCUUCAAACUACUACAUAUAUCAACAGUUGACAUUACCCUGGGCAUGUUGAUUUUAUAUACAUUGACUUAACCUACCUACCAGGCAUUCCAUUCCAUGGGAGACAUACUAAGUGUCUAGUAUGUCCCACGUUGUGAUAGGCAAUGUGAGAGUUACAGACAACCAAAAGUUCUUUUAAGAUAUAUUUCCAGGGGAGACAGAGUAAGAUGGCUCCACCAAUUGUUCCCCCGACAAGGACACCAAUUUAACAAUCAUCUACACAGAAAAAACACCCUCGUAAGGAUAAAAAUCAAUACAUUUGCUCUUGGAUCCCAUCCACCACGCUGUGAGGAAGCCAAAUUACCUCAUGAAGAUGCCCUCAAGGAGCUGAACCAAAGGCUCUGGCCCAUAGCCUUACGGAUCUCCAAGUUGAAAGUCAGCACCAACCUGCUAGUCAUAAGAAUGUUCCUAAUCACUCCUCAUCCUCCUCCCUCCUGCCACACUGAACUUUUUAAUGUGCAGCAUACUGGAGAGAAAACGAGUACUUUGGUCAGACAAGGAAACAGAGCUGAACAUGGAAAAAAGAACCAUAUUCUAAUUUUAAAGAAAGUGGCUCCGCAGAAUCUUAGAUUUUCCAAGCUGUGGGGCCUUUAUUGUGCUAGGAAAAAAAAGGGAAAAUAAUACACAAAACUGAAUCUAUUAUAUUUUCCCUUAAUGGCAAAUCUUGAUAAAAGAAAAUGGAACUUUAGAAUGGAAGGAGCAUCUGGGCUCAUUUUCUAAUGAAAUAUCUUUACAAAUGAGAAACCUAAGGGUCAGAGAGAAAAUGUGACUUGCCCAAGCUCUCACAGCUUUCCAUGACAGAAGUAGAAUCUAAGUCUUGAUGCUUAUAUUUUAGUAUAACUAAGUCAGGUAAUAGCAGAGAACACUCAGAAACUUUAACAGUAUGUCAAUUUCUUGGACUAUAAUGUUGAUGACUGUUUUAGGAUUGAUUAUUUUAAAGAUACAGAAAUAUUUUUUCUGUCCUUUUUUUUGGCAACAACAGAGCGUGCUUUUUUCUCUCCUCAUUAUUCUGUGGGGAAAUUUUGUGAAAUUCUGUCCAGUAAAACUGACUGAGGCAGUUGGGAGAAUGACCACUGCCUUCAUGUAGUAACAGAAGCAAUAAUCUCUAGUGAGAAGACAAUUGGUUGCAGGCAAGUCUCACUGGUACUAUGAUAGGGGACCCAGAUACAUUAGAGAAAAGCAAAUUAACAUGACCCCCAGGUCUCUGGAGUCAUAUAAGACGCUAAGUCUAAGUCAUAUAAGUCCCUUAUAACUUCAUAGUCAUAAGGGACUUGAAGCCUAUGUGAGUUCAUUGUUAUGUGAUGGAGAGUGGAGCAAUGGAGCAAGGAAGAAUGAGUGGAAAACUGUUUGGUGUUUAACUAAUGUGCUCAUAGAAAACCUGAUAAUUUUUGGCUAGUUCAAAGUUGUGUCUGACCUGAAGCAACUGUUAUUGCCUACUGACUAGAGUUCUUUGUGGAGGUUAUAUGAUUCACUUGAAGUGUUUUCCAAUACCAAAUUGGUUAGCUAAUUUAAAUAAGGAACCAGAUAUGUUAUUUCUUCCCCAGACUUCUUUCAACAAAAGCUAAUUUUCUUUCCUUCCUCCUAUCCAAAACACAACUAAUAAAAU
rnacentral:lncRNA from 1 species